rnacentral:rRNA from 1 species
GAAUACUGGACAAUGGGCGAAAGCCUGAUCCAGCCAUGCCGCGUGUGUGAAGAAGGUCUUUGGAUUGUAAAGCACUUUAAGUUGGGAGGAAGGGCAGUAAGCGAAUACCUUGCUGUUUUGACGUUACCGACAGAAUAAGCACCGUCCAACUCUGUGCCAGCAGACGCGGUAAUACAGAGGGUGCAAGCGUUAAUCGGAAUUACUGUGCGUAAAACGCGCGUAGGUGUUUCAUUAAGUUGGAUGUGAAAUACCCGGGCUCAAACUGGGAACUGCAUACAAAACUGGCGAGCUAGAGUAGGGCAGAGGGUGGUGGAAUUUCCUGUGUAGCGGUGAAAUGCGUAGAUAUAGGAAGGAACACCAGUGGCGAAGGCGACCACCUGGGCUCAUACUGACACUGAGGUGCGAAAGCGUGGGGAGCAAACA